CCCGUGCUAAGGACUAUUCAACGCUGGUCUGACCAAUCGGAAUCCACGAUUCAGGAUUAUUUUGAUCACGUGGACUGGGAUAUGCUCGGGUAGCUUGCGAAAAUAAUCUAGAUGCAUACACGGAUACGGUGACUGAGUUUAUAAGGAAGUGUAUUGGAGAUGUAGUUCCCACUGUGACUAUGAAAACCUACCCUAACCACAGUAGCAUUCGCACGAAACUGAAAGCGCGAACCACCUCAUUUUCCCCUUGGCAAGGUGACUGGGAAUAUGGCAGAAUAUAAACAGUGUAGUUAUUCACUCCGCAAGCUAACAAGCUAAACGUCAUUAUAGAGAUAAACUGGAGUCACAAUUCAACGGCUCAGACACGAGACGUAUGUGGCGUCGACUACAGACAAUCACAGACUACAAAAGUAAAACCAGCCACGUCGCAGAAGCCGACAUCUUGCUUCCGGACAAGUUAACCACAUUCUUUGCUCGCUUUGAGGAUAACACAGCGCCACGGACGUGGCGCGCUACCAAGGACUGUGGGCUCUCCUUCUCCGUGGCCGACGUGAGUAAAACAUUUAAAUGUGUUAACCCUCGCAAGGCUGCCGGUCCAGACGGCAUCCCAGCCGCGUCUUCAGAGCAUGUGCAGACUAGCUGGCUGGUGUGUUUACGGGCACAUUCAAUCUCUCCCUGUCCCAGUCUGCUGUCCCCACAUGCUUCAAGAAGGCCACCAUUGUUCCUGUACCCAUGAAGGCAAAGGUAAUUGAACUUAAUGACUAUCGCCCCGUAGCACUCACGUCUGUCAUCAUGAAGUGCUUUGAGAGACUAGUCAAGGAUCAGAUCACCUCUAUCUUACCUGCCGCCCUAGACCCACUUCAAUUUGCUUACCGCCCCAAUAGAUCCACAGAUGAUGCAAUCACCAUCACUCUGCACACUGCCCUAUCCCAUCUGGACAAGAGGAAUACCUAUGUAAGAAUGCUAUUUAUUGACUAUAGCUCAGCAUUCAACACCAUAGUACCCACCAAACUCAUCAUUAAGCUUGAGGCCCUGGGUCUGAACCCCGCCCUGUGCAACUGGGUCCUGAACUUCCUGACGUGCCGCCCCCAGGUGGUGAAGAUGCACAAUUGAAAGCAUCCUGUGAGGCUGUAUCGCUGCCUAGAACGGCAACUGCACCGCCCGCAACCGCAAAGCUCUCCAGAGGGCAGUGAGGUCUGCCCAACGCAUUACCGGGGCAAACUACCCGCCCUCCAGGACACAGGAUGAUGAUGUCACAGGAUGGCCGAAAAGAUCAGCAAGGACAUCAACAACCAUUCACCCCACUAUCAUCCAGAAGGCGAGGUCAGUACAGGUGCAUCAAAGCUGGGACAGAGACUCAAAAACAACUUAUAUCUCAAAGCCAUCAGACUGUUAAACAGCCAUCACUAACACAUUAGAGGCUACUGCCUAUGAGAUGACUAAUGCCAGGUAUGUGCAAACCUGGUGGCCAACUACAAGAAAUGUCUGACCUCUGUGAUUGCCAACAAAGGUUUUGUCACUAAGUACUAAGUCAUGUUUUGCAGAGGGGUCAAAUACUUCUUUGCCUCAUUAAAAUGCAUAUUUGACGUGUUUUUCUGGAUUUUCUUUUUGUUAUUCUGUCUCUCACUGUUCAAAUAAACCUACCAUUAAAAUUAUAGACUGAUAAUUUCUUUGUCAGUGGGCAAACAUACAAAAUCAGCAGGGGAUCAAAUACUUUUUUCCCUCAAUGUAUGGAUAUAGUCUUAUAUGUACAGUUGAAGUCGGUGGUUUACAU
ensembl:lncRNA